rnacentral:rRNA from 1 species
UGCGCAGGCGGCCAAGUGUGUGAGGCGUGAAAGCCCGGGGCUUAACCCCGGAAUUGCACCUCAAACUACAUGGCUAGAGCAUUGGAGAGGGUAGCGGAAUUCACGGUGUAGCAGUGAAAUGCGUAGAUAUCGUGAGGAACACCAGAGGCGAAGGCGGCUACCUGGACAAUUGCUGACGCUCAGGCACGAAAGCGUGGGAGCAAAAG